rnacentral:lncRNA from 10 species
UAAUGUUAAGAGUAUUGGUGAACUAAUGACACAUAAUUUAAAAAUAUUUAAUGGCUACAUAUUAUUGUUAAAAUUUAAAUCUAAAUGCAACUAUAGCUUUUUGAUAGACAUUUGAGAGAUUAUAAACUGGAAUACCACAAAUUCUACCAAACAUUACACUUAUCAAGUGUAUUAAAAUAAAUGUCAUAUAAAUUUCCUGCCAUUAUAGCUGAAAUGGACUUUAAUUCCACUUCUCUUGUGAUAAUUUAUUUCUUUACUCCUUUUAGGAUGUCUGGCCAGCUGUCUUGGACAUCUAACGUCAUGAGAAGCUAGCUGAAAAUCUCAUUUUUAUAGGCACUCUGGGAUUUUACUGAAUCUAACCACUAUGACAAGAUACUAAAAAUAUUUUUAAAAACUUCAACGGAAAUUUGAAAAUAUAUUCACGAAGAUAUAACCUCUGAAGACAUUUGAGAAAUCUUAUUUGCAAAAUCUUUUUAUGAAGAAUCUUUUUUCAUGUACAGAGAACAGGCAAAUAAAUAGGAACUAAUCUUAAAACAUAAUAAUUUUGUAUUGCAGGAAGUUUAUGAUGUUCUGGGAAUAUCUAGUAAAAAUAUUUGACUUAGCAUAGAGCUUUCAUGGAUAUUUCUAGAAGAAAAUUACACUUAACAACUAAAAGAUAAUUAGGAGUUGUGAAAGGAGGAAAAGAAAGAGAACUCCAGAGCCGGGUGCGGUGUCUCACGCCUGUAAUCCCAGCACUUUGGGAGACCUAGGCGGGCAGAUCAUCUGAGGUCAGGAGUUCAAGAUCAGCCUGACCAACAUGGAGAAACCCCAUCUCUACUAAAAAUACAAAUAAAACUAGCUGGGCGUGGUGGCGUAUGCCUGUAAUCCCAGCUACUCUGAAGGCUGAGGCAGGAGAAAUGUUUG